GCUCGAGUGGCGAACGGGUGAGUAACACGUGAGUAACCUGCCCUUGACUUUGGGAUAACUUCAGGAAACUGGGGCUAAUACCGGAUAGGAGCUCCUGCUGCAUGGUGGGGGUUGGAAAGUUUCGGCGGUUGGGGAUGGACUCGCGGCUUAUCAGCUUGUUGGUGGGGUAGUGGCUUACCAAGGCUUUGACGGGUAGCCGGCCUGAGAGGGUGACCGGCCACAUUGGACUGAGAUACGGCCCAG
rnacentral:rRNA from 1 species